CUUCCGUAGGUGAACCUGCGGAGGGAUCAUUACACAAAUAUGAAGGCGGGCUGGAACCUCUCGGGGUUACAGCCUUGCUGAAUUAUUCACCCUUGUCUUUUGCGUACUUCUUGUUUCCUUGGUGGGUUCGCCCACCACUAGGACAAACAUAAACCUUUUGUAAUUGCAAUCAGCGUCAGUAACAAAUUAAUAAUUACAACUUUCAACAACGGAUCUCUUGGUUCUGGCAUCGAUGAAGAACGCAGCGAAAUGCGAUAAGUAGUGUGAAUUGCAGAAUUCAGUGAAUCAUCGAAUCUUUGAACGCACAUUGCGCCCUUUGGUAUUCCAAAGGGCAUGCCUGUUCGAGCGUCAUUUGUACCCUCAAGCUUUGCUUGGUGUUGGGCGUCUUGUCUCUAGCUUUGCUGGAGACUCGCCUUAAAGUAAUUGGCAGCCGGCCUACUGGUUUCGGAGCGCAGCACAAGUCGCACUCUCUAUCAGCAAAGGUCUAGCAUCCAUUAAGCCUUUUUUUCAACUUUUGACCUCGGAUCAGGUAGGGAUACCCGCUGAACUUAAGCAUAUCAAUAAGCGGAGGAA
rnacentral:rRNA from 1 species